GUCGAACGCGAAAGUCCCCUUCGGGGGAUAAGUAGAGUGGCGCACGGGUGAGUAACACGUAGGUAAUCUACCUUCGGGUGGGGAAUAACCCAGGGAAACUUGGGCUAACACCGCAUAAUGCAGCGGCACCACAUGGUGACAGUUGUUAAAGCGGGGGAUUUUAGGACCUCGCGCCUGAAGAGGAGCCUGCGGCAGAUUAGCUAGUUGGUAAGGUAACGGCUUACCAAGGCGACGAUCUGUAACCGGCCUGAGAGGGCGGUCGGUCACACUGACACUGACAUACGGGUCAGACUCCUACGGGAGGCAGCAGUCGGGAAUUUUGGGCAAUGGGCGAAAGCCUGACCCAGCAACGCCGCGUGAAGGAUGAAAUCCCUCGGGAUGUAAACUUCGCAAGAUUGGGAAGAAUUAGUAGGGGUUAAUACCCCCUAUGAUGACGGUACCUUUUGUAAGCUCCGGCUAACUCCGUGCCAGCAGCCGCGGUAAUACGGGGGGAGCAAGCGUUGUUCGGAUUUACUGGGCGUAAAGGGCGCGUAGGCGGUCAGCACAAGUCAGUUGUGAAAUCUCCGGGCUUAACUCGGAAAGGUCAACUGAUACUGUGCGACUAGAGUGCAGAAGGGGCAACUGGAAUUCUCGGUGUAGCGGUGAAAUGCGUAGAUAUCGAGAGGAACACCUGCGGCGAAGGCGGGUUGCUGGGCUGACACUGACGCUGAGGCGCGAAAGCCAGGGGAGCGAACGGGAUUAGAUACCCCGGUAGUCCUGGCCUUAAACGAUGGAUGCUUGGUGUCUGGAGUUAUAUAGUCUCCGGGUGCCGCAGCUAACGCGUUAAGCAUCCCGCCUGGGGAGUACGGUCGCAAGACUGAAACUCAAAGGAAUUGACGGGGACCCGCACAAGCGGUGGAGCAUGUGGUUCAAUU
rnacentral:rRNA from 1 species